ACGAACGCUGGCGGCGUGCCUAAUACAUGCAAGUAGAACGCUGAAGGAGGAGCUUGCUUCUCUGGAUGAGUUGCGAACGGGUGAGUAACGCGUAGGUAACCUGCCUGGUAGCGGGGGAUAACUAUUGGAAACGAUAGCUAAUACCGCAUAAGAGUAGAUGUUGCAUGACAUUUGCUUAAAAGGUGCAAUUGCAUCACUACCAGAUGGACCUGCGUUGUAUUAGCUAGUUGGUGGGGUAACGGCUCACCAAGGCGACGAUACAUAGCCGACCUGAGAGGGUGAUCGGCCACACUGGGACUGAGACACGGCCCAGACUCCUACGGGAGGCAGCAGUAGGGAAUCUUCGGCAAUGGACGGAAGUCUGACCGAGCAACGCCGCGUGAGUGAAGAAGGUUGUCGGAUCGUAAAGCUCUGUUGUAAGAGAAGAACGAGUGUGAGAGUGGAAAGUUCACACUGUGACGGUAUCUUACCAGAAAGGGACGGCUAACUACGUG
rnacentral:rRNA from 1 species